rnacentral:rRNA from 1 species
CGGGACGGGGUGGAAUAAUGUCUGGGAAACUGCCUGAUGGAGGGGGGUAACUACUGGAAACGGUAGCUAAUACCGCAUAACGUCGCAAGACCAAAGAGGGGGACCUUCGGGCCUCUUGCCAUCGGAUGUGCCCAGAUGGGAUUAGCUAGUAGGUGGGGUAACGGCUCACCUAGGCGACGAUCCCUAGCUGGUCUGAGAGGAUGACCAGCCACACUGGAACUGAGACACGGUCCAG